GCUUAUUGGGAUUCGACUAAGCCNUGCGAGUCGUGAGGGUUCGGCCCUCGGCGAACGGCUCAGUAACACGUAGAUAAUUUGCCCUUAGGUGGAGGAUACCCUCGGGAAACUGAGAAUAAUACUCCAUAGAUUUAGAAUGCUGGAAUGCUUUUAAAUUGAAAGAUUUAUCGCCUAAGGAUAAGUCUGCGGACUAUCAGGUCGUAGUUAGGGUAAAUACCUGACUAGCCUACGACGGAUACGGGUUGUGAGAGCACUAGCCCGGAGAUGAUAUCUGAGACACGAUAUCAGGCCCUACGGGGCGCAGCAGGCGCGAAAACUUCGCACUGUGCGAAAGCACGACGAGGGAAUCCCAAGUGCUGGCUCGUAAGAGUCAGCUGUUUCUUUGUCUAAAAAACAGAGAGAGUAAGAGCUGGGUAAGACGGGUGCCAGCCGCCGCGGUAAUACCUGCAGCUCAAGUGGUGGCCGCUAUUAUCGGGCCUAAAACGUCCGUAGCCGGUUCUAUAAAUGCCUGGGUAAAUCGUACGGCUUAACCGUACGAAUUCCGGGUAGACUGUUCAACUUGGGACCGGGAGAGGCUAGAGGUACUCCUGGGGUAGAGGUGAAAUUCUGUAAUCCUAGGGGGACCACCAGUGGCGAAGGCGUCUAGCUAGAACGGGUUCUGACGGUGAGGGACGAACCCUGGGGAGCAACGGGAUAAAU
rnacentral:rRNA from 1 species